rnacentral:ribozyme from 1 species
AUAGGAAAAUGAAUAAUAAUAGGAAGAACGAAUGAUAAGAAAUGAAUGACUGUCUUCGAGAUUUCUCUCUGUUUCUACUUUUCUCUUUUUUUUCUUCUUCUCUCUGUUUUCUUUGUUUUGUUCCUCCU